GCGUAAAUGGUUUAGUGGUAAAAUCCAUCGUUGCCAAAGGCGUUAUAAACGCUCAAGACCUCGAUGGGCCCCCGGUUCGAUUCCGGGUUUACGCA